rnacentral:rRNA from 1 species
AUACGUAGGGGGCGAGCGUUGUCCGGAAUUACUGGGUGUAAAGGGCGUGUAGGCGGGGUAUCAAGUUAUUGGUAAAAACCCAGGGCUCAACUCUGGGCUUGCCGAUAAAACUGAUAUUCUUGAGUGCAGGAGAGGGAAGUGGAAUUUCCGGAGUAGCGGUGAAAUGCGUAGAUACCGGGAGGAACACCAGUGGCGAAGGCGGCUUCCUGGCCUGUAACUGACGCUGAGGCGCGAAAGCUGGGGGAGCGAACGGGAUUAGAUACCCCGGUAGUCCCAGCCGUAAACGAUGGUCACUAGGUGUGGGUGGUGGUCAAGCCAUCCGUGCCGGAGCUAACGCAAUAAGUGACCCACCUGGGGAGUACGGCCGCAAGGUUGAA